rnacentral:rRNA from 1 species
UCCUGGCUCAGGACGAACGCUGGCGGCGUGCUUAACACAUGCAAGUCGAACGAGAAGAGAUGAGAAGCUUGCUUCUUAUUAAUUCGAGUGGCAAACGGGUGAGUAACGCGUAAGCAACCUGCCCUUCAGAUGGGGACAACACCUCGAAAGGGGUGCUAAUACCGAAUGACGUUUCCUGGUCGCAUGACCUGGAAACCAAAGGCCGGGCAACCGGUCGCUGAAGGAUGGGCCUGCGUCUGAUUAGCUAGUUGGUGGGGUAACGGCCCACCAAGGCGACGAUCAGUAGCCGGUCUGAGAGGAAGGUCCCCCACAUUGGAACUGAGACACGGUCCAAACUCCUACGGGAGGCAGCAGUGAGGAAUAUUGGUCAAUGGGCGAGAGCCUGAACCAGCCAAGUAGCGUGCAGGACGACGGCCCUAUGGGUUGUAAACUGCUUUUAUAAGGGAAUAAAGUGAGUCUCGUGAGACUUUUGCAUGUACCUUAUGAAUAAGGACCGGCUAAUUCCGUG